rnacentral:rRNA from 1 species
AGUAAUGUCUGGGAAACUGCCUGAUGGAGGGGGAUAACUACUGGAAACGGUAGCUAAUACCGCAUAACCUCGCAAGAGCAAAGAGGGGGACCUUCGGGCCUCUCGCCAUCAGAUGUGCCCAGAUGGGAUUAGCUAGUAGGUGAGGUAAUGGCUCACCUAGGCGACGAUCCCUAGCUGGUCUGAGAGGAUGACCAGCCACACUUGGAACUGAGACACGGUCCAGACUCCUACGGGAGGCAGCAGUGGGGAAUAUUGCACAAUGGGCGCAAGCCUGAUGCAGCCAUGCCGCGUGUGUGAAGAAGGCCUUCGGGUUGUAAAGCACUUUCAGCGGGGAGGAAGGCGGUGAGGUUAAUAACCUUAUCGAUUGACGUUACCCGCAGAAGAAGCACCGGCUAACUCCGUGCCAGCAGCCGCGGUAAUACGGAAGGGUGCAAGCGUUAAUCGGAAUGACUGGGCGUAAAGCGCACGCAGGCGGUCUGUUAAGUUGGAUGUGAAAUCCCCGGGCUUAACCUGGGAACUGCAUUCAAAACUGACAGGCUAGAGUCUUGUAGAGGGGGGUAGAAUUCCAGGUGUAGCGGUGAAAUGCGUAGAGAUCUGGAGGAAUACCGGUGGCGAAGGCGGCCCCCUGGACAAAGACUGACGCUCAGGUGCGAAAGCGUGGGGAGCAAACAGGAUUAGAUACCCUGGUAGUCCACGCUGUAAACGAUGUCGAUUUGGAGGUUGUGCCCUUGAGGCGUGGCUUCCGGAGCUAACGCGUUAAAUCGACCGCCUGGGGAGUACGGCCGCAAGGUUAAAACUCAAAUGAAUUGACGGGGGCCCGCACAAGCGGUGGAGCAUGUGGUUUAAUUCGAUGCAACGCGAAGAACCUUACCUACUCUUGACAUCCACAGAAUUCGGUAGAGAURCCUUAGUGCCUUCGGGAACUGUGAGACAGGUGCUGCAUGGCUGUCGUCAGCUCGUGUUGUGAAAUGUUGGGUUAAGUCCCGCAACGAGCGCAACCCUUAUCCUUUGUUGCCAGCGAUUCGGUCGGGAACUCAAAGGAGACUGCCG